rnacentral:lncRNA from 1 species
CUUCUACUGAAUCUGAAGGAAACUUCACUUAUUCAACUUUUUCUGAAAAAAGAUUCAACAAGUGAUUUUCCUUUUUAAAAUCUUAAUCCUGGCCUUGAUAGAAGUUUUGGUUGAAUGGGGUUUUGAUUGCCAAGGUAGACUGGUUCCUACAAAACAAAUAAAUUAUCAUAAGUGUAUCACCUUCUUCUGCAUGCUUAAUUUAUACAUUCCUCUGGCAUUAUUACAACAGGCUCAUUGCUUCACUUAUAUAAUAAUACCAAAUUGUGGUUAGCAAUUGUCAACAAUAGUAGCUAGCUACUAGUUUUUAUUUAUUUCUUUAUAUAUAUAAAAGGGCAAAGGGGUUAAAAAUUAUUGUCCUCAAAGUCAAUCUUGGAACUUGUAAAUGCACAUUGUUUAGUCCCUAAUGCAAAUUAAAUUAAUAUAAAUAGUGGUUAAUUUUCUGUGACAAUAAGAUGGUUGCCCAUCUCUCAUGAAAUAACUUGUAUUUAUGUUGAAGCAAUUCAGAUAUGUUGCUGAGUCAUGCUAUGCAUUUUAGGCAUUAGGGAUAUAUGGAUAGCAUGAUGUGUACAAUUAUUGGUUGCUUUGUAUCUCUAUUCAAUUUGUUAAAUUAUAUAGAAUAAAAUAUUCAUC